CCCCGGUCUUGGAUGUUUUCUGGAGGAACUGGGGAGCGUGGGCGCGUUAAGUUAUAGGGAAAACCCCAAUUCCUGAGACGUGGAUGAGGGCGCAUUCUAGUCUGUGAUUCCGAAACCAGCCAUGAUUCGCUGUGAGCUUCCCACCCCUGUGCUGGAAGGCGCCAAGUUCUGAACACCUGUGGCCUCCUCGUGGCCUCCAGGUCCUCUGCGGGAAACACCCAGCGUCCUUUGUCUGACCAACUCCUACACGUCAAUCACCGGCAAUUCGGACGCCACCUCUUCCAGGAAAUUUCCCUGAAUCUGCAGAAAGUUACUCCUUCCCUGAGGAUGGAUGUCAGUUGCUGGAUUCGUGAACCUUCCCUUUGCCUUCAGUCCCACCAGUCUAUGGUCCAAACAUAAGAUCCUUUAAACUCCCGUAUGAGCCCUCCAGUGGGAGCUUCCGCAUAAGUCAUCUAUGCUGGGUCAGAGGAAACGUUCAGUCCAAGGGCAAGUUCAAGUCCACAGGUGAGGAGGCCAGGAUGCCUGCCUGCAGAGGACAGAGAGCCCCAGGCUGCUGACCGUGAAACCUCUGGAGCCAAGGAUGUCUUUAAAUCUAGAUGGUCUUGCCUCAGCCUCUCUGGUACUUGAGAUGACAGACUUGCACCACCAGAGACAAUCAU
rnacentral:lncRNA from 1 species